rnacentral:lncRNA from 1 species
UCUGCAGGCUUGAAUAAGAGUCGGUAUAGUUUUUACCAAACUUUGGGGCGCCACCAGAAACUAAGAUACCUGGGAAAAUGGUAUCGCCCAAAGGUGGUAGAUUCACCAGGGCCCCAACAUCCCUAAGAGUAAUAGACAUAGGGCCGAGAGGGAAAAUAAACGUAUUAUACUCGAAAGACCAAAAGCUCAAAGCAAUCGAAAAAAGUGCAGAAUCAAAAGUAGGAGGGCGAAUAGAGAUUUCUAACAAAUCAGAAAUCCUAGCGCUAUCAAAAAGUGCCUUAGUAGGACCAUGACCCACAAGGCGAGCAUGCCACCUACGAAAAGCUACGUCAGACUUAGGCCAAGUGCGAAUACC